UAUUGCGCAAUGGGCGAAAGCCUGACGCAGCGACGCCGCGUGAGGGAUGAAGGUCUUCGGAUUGUAAACCUCUUUCAGCAGGGACGAAGCGAAAGUGACGGUACCUGAAGAAGAAGCACCGGCUAACUACGUGCCAGCAGCCGCGGUAAUACGUAGGGUGCAAGCGUUGUCCGGAUUUAUUGGGCGUAGAGAGCUCGUAGGCGGUUAGACACGUCGGAUGUGAAAACUGGGGGCUCAACCCCCAGCCUGCAUUCGAUACGGUCUGACUAGAGUGUGGUAGGGGUAACUGGAAUUCCUGGUGUAGCGGUGAAAUGCGCAGAUAUCAGGAGGAACACCGAUGGCGAAGGCAGGUUACUGGGCCAUUACGACGCUAGAGCGAA
rnacentral:rRNA from 1 species